ensembl:lncRNA
AAGUCAGCUACAUGUAUAAAUGGAAAUUUCUGGGUUUUGGGAAAAGUCGACAUCCUUGAUUUCAAGAGCAUAACAGUUCAUUCUUUAAUGAUGUUAUUUUGUUGUGGUAUUAGUUUUAUACUGUGUUACAUGUUCACGUAUAAUCUAGACAUCUUUUACAAAAUUUUCAAGUUGACAAGCACAUGUAGCAGGUCGUUUUGUCUCCUCCUUCUCCUGCCGUGUCUAGGUCAUCCAGACACGUACCCACCCUGGGGCAGGUCAGAGGAGCGCUCCUUGGCUACCCAGGAAGAGGCAGGAAUAGAACCACUGGAGACGGGGGAAACAAAGUGUAUGCCACAAAGAUACUGCCGGUGAGAAACAGAAAGUGACAAUUUUCAAAGUCAUUUUAGACCAGACCCAUUUGCUUGUAUGGACGUGUGUGUGUUUACAACAGCCAUGCUCCCCCCGGCAAAGUAAAAUACACUGGAAAUGGGGGAGUAUGGCGUAGGGUGGGGUGAAGAAGAACGUGGCAAUGUUUUCAGUUCCUGAAUAACAGUCCCCGACUCGCCAGUGAGACACUGGACCACAGGCAGGAUGAAUGUUUGGGUCUGGACAACCGACUCCGUUGGUUGAUUUUGCUACCUUGGCCCAAACAAGCAUGUCCACUAUCUUUCUUCUUGCUCCUGAAUCUCGGCAUGAUCAAGUAUCAAGAGACAAGCAAGCAGCCAAAUGGAGCAAAGAGAAGAGCGAUCAUUGCAAAGAAUUCCUGUGGGGUUCACUGGGGUUUUCAGAAAGCAAGGGAUGCUCAUGGUUGUGAGUGGACGUCCGACUUACCUGCUGUAGGUGAAGGUGGUUCUUCCUACAGAACGCUCUCUCCAGAAAGACAUCCCCUCUCUGGGACGUGAGGUGGAGUAGAAGGACUAACCAUCUAAAAUUGUCAGCUAUGUCAUUUCUUUUCAGCAUUAACUCAUUUCAGCCUGAAAAUCUUGACAAUGCAAAUUUGUUCUCCAGCGGGGGAGAGAGAAUGGGAGAAAGAAACAAUAUUCCUGCCUUUAAUCUGGUGAGAAUAAUCAGGAAGGAUGGGUGAGAGGCACCACGCGUUCUGUGCUGUGCUUUUGAAAAGAGAACAAAACACCGUGUCCAGAGAUAAAUUGUCAUCGUCUGAAGCUCCAGUUUUCUUACAAAUUCUUAAGGAAAUGUUGCCCCCUUCUGGACAAAAGGUACAAUAGACAGCCGCCACAGCCUUGCCAUCCAACCUGUUUAUAAACUCAUCUACCUGCGUUAGUCAGGAAGGGUUUUGCUCUGGUGUCUUUUCUGUCACUAUGCCUAGACAACACUAAUUCACUUUUAAAAAGUCACUAUACCAGCACGAAUCAUAUGCAUAAGAGAUCAGAAAGCCCAUUUUACCAAUUAGGCAGAUUCUUCAAAACAGGAAUAAUCAAUCACGUUGACAAAGUUUACCAGAUUUUUUCAAUCUCAUUCACAGCCUCCUUACCUUCUAUAGGACUUGAGGAGAGGUGGAUAGAGUCUCAAUCAAGUUUUCAUUUAUCUCUGUUUAUUUUAUUAUUUAGUUUUAAAAUUAAUACUCUCUUUCAAAAAUGGGUUGAAAUUAGGCAUUUGGGAUUAACAUAGACACACUAACUAUAUAUAUAACAGAUAGCCAACAAAGACCUACUGUGUAGCACAGAGAACUCUGUUCGGUAUUUUAUAGUAACCUAUAAGAGAAAAGAAUCUGAAAAAGAAUAGACAUAUAUAUGUGUGGAUAACUGAAUCACUUGGCUGUACUCCUGAAAUUAAUAUGACAUUGUAAAGCAACUAUGCUUCAAUUUAACAAGAUAGAAAGAAAUGGGUUCGGGUUUGCUUAGCUAAAUAACCUUGAAUUUGAUUUUUUCAAUAGAUUUUAGUAUUUUAAAGUCAUAUACUUGGAGCAUUAGAAAAAUGAAAUGCCAAAGCUGAUAUCCUGACCCGAGUUAUAAGAUGCCCAUGCUUUACCUUCAUAGCGUGCCCCUCCCGGUAGUCACUUCACCAGCAAACGUGUUGUCAAUACACAAGGCAAUUGAAUGCACAUGUGUUUCUAUUUGACCACCUAUGUAUUUGCUCCUCUAAAGAAAAAUCAUAAUCGAAGAAGGAACCGGCAGCCUGCCCAGGACACGCCACCACCCCAAAAGCAGAAAGUCAUCUUUCUGCUGUUGAAGUCUCUAAUGUGAAGAAGCCUGCAAGCCCAGAAAGCUUAUUUCUCAGCUGAGUGACCACAGCAGAAAGGACCCACAUUCUUGUCUAAG